rnacentral:rRNA from 1 species
GAUGAACGCUGGCGGCGUGCUUAACACAUGCAAGUCGAGCGAAGCACUUUGGUUUGAUUCUUCGGAUGAAGACCUUUGUGACUGAGCGGCGGACGGGUGAGUAACGCGUGGGUAACCUGCCUCAUACAGGGGGAUAACAGUUAGAAAUGACUGCUAAUACCGCAUAAGACCACGGUACCGCAUGGUACAGUGGUAAAAACUCCGGUGGUAUGAGAUGGACCCGCGUCUGAUUAGGUAGUUGGUGGGGUAACGGCCUACCAAGCCGACGAUCAGUAGCCGACCUGAGAGGGUGACCGGCCACAUUGGGACUGAGACACGGCCCAGACUCCUACGGGAGGCAGCAGUGGGGAAUAUUGCACAAUGGAGGAAACUCUGAUGCAGCGACGCCGCGUGAAGGAUGAAGUAUUUCGGUAUGUAAACUUCUAUCAGCAGGGAAGAAAAUGACGGU